rnacentral:rRNA from 1 species
AUCAACUUUCGAUGGUAGGAUAGAGGCCUACCAUGGUGGUAACGGGUAACGGGGUGUUAGGGCACGACACCGGAGAGGGAGCCUGAGAAACGGCUACCACAUCCAAGGAUGGCAGCAGGCGCGCAAAUUACCCAAUCCCGACACGGGGAGGUAGUGACAAUAAAUAACAAUACGGGGUUCUUUCGGAUUUCGUAAUUGGAAUGAGUACAAUUUAAAUCUCUUAACGAGGAACAAUUGGAGGGCAAGUCUGGUGCCAGCAGCCGCGGUAAUUCCAGCUCCAAUAGCGUAUAUUAAAGUUGCUGCAGUUAAAAAGCUCGUAGUUGAAUUUCGGGACCAAUAUGUCGGUCGUGCCUCGGUACGUACUGGCAUCGUUGGUUUCUCCCUUCUGACGAACCAUGAUGUCAUUUAUUUGGUGUCGUGGGAAAUCAGGACCGUUACUUUGAAAAAAUUAGAGUGUUUAAAGCAGGCUCACGCUUGAAUACAUUAGCAUGGAAUAAUGAAAUAGGACGUUUGAUUCUAUUUUGUUGGUUUCUAGGAUCGACGUAAUGAUUAAUAGGGAUAGUUGGGGGCAUUAGUAUUCAAUUGUCAGAGGUGAAAUUCUUGGAUUUAUUGAAGACUAACUACUGCGAAAGCAUUUGCCAAGGAUGUUUUCAUUAAUCAAGAACGAAAGUUAGGGGAUCGAAGACGAUCAGAUACCGUCGUAGUCUUAACCAUAAACUAUGCCGACUAGGGAUCGGAUGAUGUUAAUUUUUUAAUGACUCAUUCGGCGCCUUACGGGAAACCAGGUGUUUGGGUUC